GGCGAACGGGUGAGUAAUAAAUCGGAACGUGCCCUGUAGUGGGGGAUAACCAGUCGAAAGACUGGCUAAUACCGCAUACGACCUACGGGUGAAAGCGGGGGAUCGCAAGACCUCGCGCUAUCGGAGCGGCGAUUUCCGAUUAGCUAGUUGGCGGGGUAAAAGCCCACCAAGGCGACGAUCGGUAGCUGGUCUGAGAGGAUGGCCAGCCACACUGGGACUGAGACCACGGCCCAGACUCCAUACGGGAGGCAGCAGUGGGGAAUUUUGGACAAUGGGCGAAAGCCUGAUCCAGCCAUGCCGCGUGCGGGAAGAAGGCCUUCGGGUUGUAAACCGUUUUGGCAGGAACGAAACGGGCGAGCUAAUACCUCGCGUUAAUGACGGUACCUGCAGAAUAAGCACCGGGUAACUACGUGCCAGCCGCCGCGG
rnacentral:rRNA from 1 species